AUUCCGGAGAGGGAGCCUGAGAAACGGCUACCACAUCUAAGGAAGGCAGCAGGCGCGUAAAUUACCCACUCCCAGUUCGGGGAGGUAGUGACGAAAAAUAACAAUACAGGACUCAUAUCCGAGGCCCUGUAAUUGGAAUGAGUACACUUUAAAUCCUUUAACAAGGACCUAUUAGAGGGCAAGUCUGGUGCCAGCCGCCGCGGUAAUUCCAGCUCUAAUAGCGUAUAUUAAAGUUGUUGCGGUUAAAACGUUCGUAGUUGAAUUUGUGCUUCAUACGGGUAGUACAAACCAUAAAUGUGGACUGUACAUUACUUUAUGUAUGCAAGCGUAUUACCGGUGGAGUUCUAAUAUAUAAUGAUGCAUUGUGUCUUUAUGUAUACCUCCUAUUUAAACCUGCUUCAGUGCUCUUCAUCGAGUGUUGUUGUGGGCCGGUACAAUUACUUUGAACAAAUUAGAGUGCUUAAAGCAGGCUCCAAAUGCCUGAAUAUUUUGUGCAUGGAAUAAUGAAAUAAGACCUCUGAUCUACUUUCAUUGGUUUUUAGAUCAAGAGGUAAUGAUUAAUAGAAGCAGUUUGGGGGCAUUAGUAUUACGACGCGAGAGGUGAAAUUCUUGGACCGUCGUAAGACUAACUUAAGCGAAAGCAUUUGCCAAAGAUGUUUUCAUUAAUCAAGAACGAAAGUUAGAGGUUCGAAGGCGA
rnacentral:rRNA from 1 species